rnacentral:rRNA from 1 species
CAGCAGCCGCGGGAAUACGAAGGGGGCUAGCGUUGUUCGGAUUUACUGGGCGUAAAGCGCACGUAGGCGGAUCGAUCAGUCAGGGGUGAAAUCCCAGAGCUCAACUCUGGAACUGCCUUUGAUACUGUCGAUCUGGAGUAUGGAAGAGGUGAGUGGAAUUCCGAGUGUAGAGGUGAAAUUCGUAGAUAUUCGGAGGAACACCAGUGGCGAAGGCGGCUCACUGGACCAUAACUGACGCUGAUGCACGAAAGCUAGGGGAGCAAACAGGAUUAGAUACCCGUGUAGUCCCUGUCUCUUAUAC